rnacentral:rRNA from 1 species
UACGUAGGGGGCUAGCGUUGUCCGGAAUCAUUGGGCGUAAAGAGCGUGUAGGCGGCCCGGUAAGUCCGCUGUGAAAGUCGGGGGCUCAACCCUCGAAUGCCGGUGGAUACUGGUCGGGCUAGAGUGCGGAAGAGGCGAGUGGAAUUCCUGGUGUAGCGGUGAAAUGCGCAGAUAUCAGGAGGAACACCAAUUGCGAAGGCAGCUCGCUGGGACGUAACUGACGCUGAGAACGCGAAAGCCGUGGGGAGCAAACAGG